rnacentral:rRNA from 1 species
GAGUUUGAUCGUGGCUCAGAGUGAACGCUGGCGGCAGGCCUAACACAUGCAAGUCGAACGGCAGCACAGUCCCGCAAGGGAUGGGUGGCGAGUGGCGGACGGGUGAGGGAAUACAUCGGAAUCUACCUUGUCGUGGGGGAUAACGUAGGGAAACUUACGCUAAUACCGCAUACGACCUACGGGUGAAAGCGGCGGACCGCAAGGCGUCGCGCGAUUGGAUGAGCCGAUGUCCGAUUAGCUAGUUGGCGGGGUAAAGGCCCACCAAGGCGACGAUCGGUAGCUGGUCUGAGAGGAUGAUCAGCCACACUGGAACUGAGACACGGUCCAGACUCCUACGGGAGGCAGCAGUGGGGAAUAUUGGACAAUGGGCGCAAGCCUGAUCC